UUUGAAACGACAAAUUUAAGUCUUUUUAUUUAUUAUCCCAUUUGUUUUUCUUUUAGCAAAAUAAAAUUCCCAAUACACUUUGGAUAAUUUUGAAAUCAAAAUCAAUAUCCAGAACCAAAAUACCAAGAAGAAAUCAGAAACGGAGAAAGAGCCGCAAUUCAUUAUAGAAAUGCUUCAUUUACACCUCCGCCUUCACUUCCACCAACCCGUCUUCACUUCUCAGCGAAAUUCACCUCCAAUUACUACUAUCCUUCACAACCCAUUUCCAAUUUGGACCCCAAAAUCAGCUGCCUCUGCUCACCUUCGACAGAAGCCCUUCAUUAAUACCAUAAAAUGCAUGGCCAAUCCGAGAAGAGUCAAAAUGGUUGCCAAGCAGAUACAGAGAGAGCUUUCUGAUAUGCUUUUAACUGAUAAGGUGCUACAGUACGCCAUUUUGCCUGAGGCUGCUUUGGGUGCUGAUAAAUAUUUGUCUUCUCUCACUACCAUCAGUGAUGUUGAAGUUUCUACUGAUUUGCAGGUGGUUAAAGUGUAUGUAUCUGUUUUUGGAGAUGAUAGGGGAAAGGAGGUUGCAAUUGCUGGGUUAAAGGCGAAAGCCAAGUAUGUUAGAAGUGAGUUAGGGAGGCGCAUGAAGUUGAGAUUGACUCCUGAGAUACGGUUUAUUGAAGAUGAAUCUUUUGAGAGAGGAAGCAGGGUACUUGCAAUAUUAGAUAAAAUUAAAGCUGAAAAAGAGAAUACAGGGAGUGAAGAUGAGCUCUCUGAGUCAUCUGAUUCCCCUCAAGAUGAUAGAGAUUGGGAAGGUGAUGACCCUGAUGAAGGCAUUAUUUAUGUAAAAUAGAUGCUCGCGAAAGUGCUAGACUUUACAGUCUUUUUAACUUUAGGCAAGGCCAUGCUUCCUAUCAGUAGAAAGAGACCUUGAGCAUAUUGCUAACAUAACAUGGCAGGAGCAAGUAUGUCACCUGGCGCUCUCGUAACUAAUUCAGAGAUUUGAACAAUGCCAUUCUCUGAUCCCCAUCUCUUGUGUAGUUUGUGCAUGUAACAUAUAGUCUUUCAAUAAUUCUUGGGAUUUGACGUGAGAGAGAGACUCAGAAUGCUCAAGAUGAAUAGUUUCGUUCGGAGUUACCUUUCCAUUAGAAGACAGCCAUUUAUCUGCUUAGCAAAUUUGUACUUGAGGAAUCUUUUGGAUGGGGUGUCUUCUCUUCCUUUCUUGACUUUGUAAUAGAAAGAAAGUAAUGAUUCUUGUUUUAGGCUGUAAUUCAAAACUGGGACCUUUAAGUUUCA